AUAUGCACAGAGAGGUUAAUAGUGCUGCUAACUAGAUGGCAUCUUAUAUAGGCCACCACAUAAGAUCAAUUUUGUGGGCUUUUCUAACUGAUUUUCUAUUUUAGUUUUUAAAUAUUUUAUUUUUUAAUCUUCAUAGAUGUAUCUAUUCACAUUUAAUUUAAAUUAAUGCAUUCAAUUUAUCAAAAGAAAAGAUCUAAAUGUUGGCACCUACUAGGUUUUAAGAUGAGAACAUGUACACUAUUGGAAGAGUUGCAAAUUUAAAACUUAAAUAAGAAGGUAUGAAUGAUAGCAACAAUUUUAACAAAAAUAUGAAAGAUUAUCAUGCAAUUGAAAAUAAAAAUGGUUUCAUGAUUUCAAUAUAAGAACAAGUUUUUGUCAAUAGUUAUGAUCAUUAUUGAUUGCACCACUAAAGUUUUUUGCUGUAUCUAAAAGAAAAUCUUUAAUAUAGCUUGAAGGUGCACCAAGAAACAAUCCCCAAAUAAAUACUUUGCUAGCAUGAAUAUAAAAUAAAUUCCCCAAAGAAGCCAAUUAUGUAACCUUUAACAUCUGAUUAUGAUGUAAACAACAUCCACGUGAUGAAAG
rnacentral:lncRNA from 1 species